ACUCCUACGGGAGGCAGCAGUGGGGAAUAUUGCACAAUGGGGGGAAACCCUGAUGCAGCCAUGCCGCGUGUGUGAAGAAGGCCUUCGGGUUGUAAAGCACUUUCAGUAGGGAGGAAGGUAGUGUAGUUAACACCUGCACUAUUUGACGUUACCUACAGAAGAAGCACCGGCUAACUCCGUGCCAGCAGCCGCGGUAAUACGGAGGGUGCGAGCGUUAAUCGGAAUUACUGGGCGUAAAGCGCAUGCAGGCGGCCUGUUAAGUCAGAUGUGAAAGCCCGGGGCUUAACCUCGGAAUUGCAUUUGAAACUGGCAGGCUAGAGUCUUGUAGAGGGGGGUAGAAUUUCAGGUGUAGCGGUGAAAUGCGUAGAGAUCUGAAGGAAUACCAGUGGCGAAGGCGGCCCCCUGGACAAAGACUGACGCUCAGAUGCGAAAAGCGUGGGGAGCAAAACAGGAUUAGAUACCCUGUAGCACAGAGC
rnacentral:rRNA from 1 species